rnacentral:tRNA from 1 species
GUCCUCGUAGCUCAAAGGAUAGAGUAAUCGCCUCCUAAGCGAUCGAUCCCGGUUCGAGUCCGGGCGGGGACA